rnacentral:tRNA from 1 species
AGUAGGUUAGUUUAAUUGGUAAAACAGCGGGCUUAUACUCCGUAGCAACAGAUAAUUGGCUAAUAAGGGUUCGAGUCCCUUACCUACUA